rnacentral:tRNA from 1 species
GCGGAAGUAGCUCACCCGGUAGAGCGACAGCUUCCCAAGCUGUAGGUAGCCGGUUCGAGUCCGGUCUUCCGCU